rnacentral:rRNA from 1 species
UACAGAGGGGGCAAGCGUUGUUCGGAAUUACUGGGCGUAAAGGGCGCGUAGGCGGCCUGUUAAGUCGAACGUGAAAUCCCCGGGCUCAACCCGGGAACUGCGUCCGAUACUGGCAGGCUUGAAUCCGGGAGAGGGAUGCGGAAUUCCAGGUGUAGCGGUGAAAUGCGUAGAUAUCUGGAGGAACACCGGUGGCGAAGGCGGCAUCCUGGACCGGUAUUGACGCUGAGGCGCGAAAGCCAGGGGAGCAAACGGGG